UCCGUCCUAAUGGCUUUGUUGCGAAAUAAACAUUUAUAAAAUAUCAUGCAUCAAAGACCACAAGGAGAAAGCAGGUGCCUCAGUUGAUUUCGAAAUAUCACGUAGGAAAACCCACCACUAGAAAAUCUUCAGAUUCUGUACAGAUGGUCCCCAAAUAUGGACCAACUAUUAAUUACAGCACUAUUGGUUACUAUCAUAUCCAUAUGCGUGUUCCUGGUUAUCGGUCUAUUAUUGUGGUAUUGUUAUCGUCGAUGUACUCGUAGUUCACAAGACCCUCAUCGUCCACCAACUCGAAGAGCUUAUGAAUAUAUUUUUCAAUCAUUUCGAUCGCAAGAUAGGCAAUGGCCACGUUUAUUACCACCACCGGCACGGGAGCUAAGGGAACCUUUAAGAGGAGAUUAUGAAUAUCCUAAUUAUGCAAAUGAACAGGAACACAGGCACGUUGAGCCUGUGAAUCACAGUCCGCCGUCAUGGCAAAGCGGACCUUCAAGAAUUCAUUACGCAAAUGAACCGGAAAGCCCGCCUGUUACACCUGUAAAUCGUAGUCCCCCAUCGCAGCAAAGCGGAUUUUCAAGAGGGAAUUAUGAGGAUGAUACUUUUGGGGCAUACGGGUGGGGAUUCACGCAUGCACACGAUUCGAAGAAAAGAUAUGAAACCCUUUAUAACGACUAUGAAGCCGGGCGUAGACACGAUGCCAAUCAGUCUGAGUCAGAUUCAAAUGUCCGACAGGCUUAUGAAGCCAGGAAAUUUGUGGGCAUCGAAGUUUUAAGAAACAUUCAAAUCAAUUUGGUCCAAGAAAAAGAACUAAAGCCUGCGAUUCCUCUUGGAGACGAUACCAACAUAAUAAUCGGAGUGGACGCCACACCGCACAAUAUUGGAGGCUAUUUCAUAAAUCUGGUCGAAAAUAGGGGAGAAUUCUAUUCUUUUCCGGUCGCAAAGUUACCCUGGACCCUAACUUCUCACGUAUUAACUCCAAAACAAAAUCAGGCGCGAAAUCCGGCCGAAUUUGAGAUGAAGAACCUAGUUUUUGCUCUCUACUUGUGGAAGAAUGAGCUACGUCAGAAUGGCUCAACUUCCAAAGUUGUCAUGUUCACGGAUAAUUUCGAUUUUAAUAAAAAGCGAACACUGUAUGGAAUCCGAGCACACAGAUUUGUUCGGCAUUUACAAAAUUGUGAAGGAAUACAGAUCCAAGUCAGAGUAAGGGGCACGAAAGAGCAAGAUAUUGAAGAUCACGCGAAAUUUGUUAAACCUGCGGACGAUUUCUCACGAAAGCGGUUUAAAGAGGGGCGGGAUUUUUUGAUUGAGUACUUUGGCUUGACCAGUGAAAACUUUACGGGAUCUCAUGACCCUCCGCGUUAUGGGAGAUAUUUUAAGAAAUCUACAAAAGCAAGGGAACAAUUGCAACGGAAAAUCCCAGCGCAAGAAUGAAAAACUUGAUCUGGAAAUUUAACAUUAUCGACUUGAACUUUUUGGCUGCCAUGUGGGUCCCUUUCAUCUACAACGUGUCCGUAACGCUCAUGUUCAUCAUGAUCCCCACGCGAGUUCAUUACCUGUACUCGCUUGUUUCACAAGAAAACAACAGAACCAGCUGUCUUUUCCAGCUUUUUCUAAUGUUCGAGGCUUAUUCUAAAGCUGCUCAAAGUUGUAUGAUGGGAACGGAUGGAUUUACAGUAUUUCCGACUCUUCUGAGUUCCGGGUUCUGGCUUGACUUCACAAGGAAACAAAAGAUUUCCGCGGCCAAAAAAAUUCGAAACUUUCAACGUUUCCACAUUUUAAUGAUUUACUACAACUAUGCCUUCACUUGGCUGCUCAUGCCUGUCGUGUUCGUCUGGAUUCCUGGGUCUUUAAUAAUUGCAUGUGGAUUUGCGUCCAUUCGAUUCCACAGUUUCCUCUCGUUCUUCGAGUACAUCCCGUUUCCGGUUUUGGUCUAUAACUGCUGCGUCAUACUGGCCGUGACGAUGCAUCCUGCCACAAUAGUUUAUGAGGAGUCAAAUAAGCUUUACCAGACGCUGCUUCACGAUAACAACAUGUCUCGAAGGAAGAGCAGGUUGCGUCGAAAAGAGUUGGCGGCUUUGAGACCGUUCGGUGUGAAAAUAGGGUUUAUCCAGCGAGUGAAAAAGGUGGCCAUCCUGGUGAGCUAUUACUUCGUUUCGAACCACAUCUUUACAAUGCUCAUCACUUUUCCGGAGGAUCAAAUCAACCACUAGUCGUCGGAACUUCAAUGGUGUCCAGCAAUGAAACUAAUCUCAAUAAGAUAAUUUGAAGAAGAAUGACAAGGAUAGUUUCCGGCGGGAAAAACAAAACCCUGUCAAAUAGUCUUCGAAUCAUCACACGCAUCAUACCUCUGGUUGCUGUGGGCCUUCCCACCACCUUUUCGAUUACACUAAAAAGUUGUUACUUCAUAAUCCUACAUUUUCACUCACAUGGAGCAGUUUUAUAACCAUAAGUUGACACAUUCCAUCACUUCUCAUUAACCACCAGAAUUUUUAGAGAACUUCAAUAUUAACCAAUUUAAAGAUAAAAUUCUGAACUGCUUUUAUUAAAUAUUGAAAUAUAUGGAAAGGUCAACAUGCGACAAAUGUAUGUAUCUAGAUAGACUUUGAAAAUAAUUUAAGUGAUGAAAGAUAAAAAUUUUAUUCCAACAGUAGUAAAACGUCAUUUUUUACAGGAAGCAUAAUCCUAGUUAUGUAUAUUUCUUUGAUUAAUUAAAGAUAUUUGAACGAGAAAUGAGAACAAUUUCCAUGCCUUAUUUCAAGAUACACAUGUGACUUAUUUCUCAAGUCGAAAUAAAUAAAAUGAGA